rnacentral:rRNA from 1 species
GAGUGCCCGUUAAAUCGGGCUGUCCAUCGGUUUAAUAACCGGUGAAGAAAGGGCCGGGCAAGACCGGUGCCAGCCGCCGCGGUAAUACCGGCGGCUCGAGUGGUGGCCACUAUUACUGGGCUUAAAGCGUUCGUAGCUGGUUUGUUAAGUCUCUGGGGAAAUCUUCCGGCUUAACCGGAAGGCGUCUCAGGGAUACUGGCAGACUAGGGACCGGGAGAGGUGAGAGGUACUCCAGGGGUAGGAGUGAAAUCCUGUAAUCCUUGGGGGACCACCUGUGGCGAAGGCGUCUCACCAGAACGGCUCCGACAGUGAGGGACGAAAGCUGGGGGAGCAAACCGGAUUAGAUACCCGGGUAGUCCCAGCUGUAAACGAUGCGCGUUAGGUGUAUCGGUGACCACGAGUCACCGAGGUGCCGAAGAGAAAUCGUGAAACGUGCCGCCUGGGAAGUACGGUCGCAAGGCUGAAACUUAAAGGAAUUGGCGGGGGAGCAC